rnacentral:rRNA from 1 species
CUUGAGUGCGGAAGAGGAGAGUGGAAUUCCACGUGUAGCGGUGAAAUGCGUAGAGAUGUGGAGGAACACCAGUGGCGAAGGCGGCUUUCUGGUCUGUAACUGACGCUGAGGCGCGAAAGCGUGGGGAGCAAACAGGAUUAGAUACCCUGGUAGUCCACGCCGUAAACGAUGAGUGCUAAGUGUUAGAGGGUUUCCGCCCUUUAGUGCUGCAGCUAACGCAUUAAGCACUCCGCCUGGGGAGUACGGCCGCAAGACUGAAACUCAAAGGAAUUG